CAGACGCAGUGUGACUCGUUGUCGUGCGACCGCAUGCGCUUUGGAGCCGUCUGCGGCGGUUGGAAGUGCGCGCAGGCGCGGUGGUUCAAAGAGCGCACUGCCGCGAGAAUGCGCGCAGGCGCGGUGCGCUGAUCGCGGAUCAAGAUGGCGGGCCCUCUUGCAGUCGCCGGUGAUGUUGUGGUGGACGCGCUGCCCUACUUUGAUCAGGGUUACGACGCUCCGGGUGUCCGGGAAGCGGCAGCUGCUCUUGUGGAAGAAGAGACCAGACGUUACCGACCCACAAAGAAUUACCUGAGUUAUUUGCCUACUCCUGACUAUUCAGCAUUUGAAACUGAGAUCAUGAGGAAUGAAUUUGAACGUCUUGCAGCUCGCCAGCCAAUGGAACUGCUUAGUAUGAAGAGGUACGAACUGCCUGCUCCAUCUUCGGGACAGAAGAAUGAUAUCACUGCUUGGCAGGAAUCUGUGAAUAACUCCAUGGCACAACUUGAACACCAGGCGGUGAGAAUCGAGAAUCUGGAGCUGAUGUCACAGCAUGGGUCAAAUGCAUGGAAAGUCUAUAAUGACAAUCUGGUACAGAUGAUUGAAAAUGCUCAGAAGGAACUGCAGAAGCUCAGAAAACAAAUUCAAGACCUUAACUGGCUGAGGAAAAACGACCAGCUUGCUGCUGGCAGUAAACUUCGAGAAAUGGAAUCCAAUCCUGGGCCUCCUGCAUUGCCAGAGUGAGGCAAAGUGGAGGAACCACUUUGAAGCUUACAAACCAACGAUAUGAACAUUGAAUUCUCCAAUGUUAGCUGGGUAGCGUUAGUUAGCAAGAACUACGAGAUUGAGAGAGCGAUUGUCCAGCUCGAAGGUGAAAUAAAGAAGAUGAAACAACAGCAAGGGGAUGAGAACAAAGAAAAUAUUCGACAGGACUUCUGAUGAUCAAGGGAGUACUGACUGCAUAUUGUUCAGUGCUUGUCUUCAAAGUGAAUAAUUGUUCCCAUUUAUACAAUAGUCAUGGUAAUCAUGUAAAUGGGAUUUGGUUUUUGUUGUAUUUCAUGUGUGUUUUAAACUGAGUAGAACAGUAUUCUUAAGCUCAAUUUUGAAGUGGCCCAAAAAACACUUUAUUUUCUGUCUUCUCCCCAUGUGUUUGAUAAUUGCCUGUUGUGUACUUGCAGCAAUUUGGGUUGUUUAUCCUUUUUGACCAACAUACCAACUGUGGUUUCCAAAACAGUCUACUUCUCAGGAUUAAUUAUCUGUAGUAAAAUGUUAAUAGAAUUUGUAUUACAUUUUUAUAGUUGAAUAUUUGCAAAUAAAAUGCUGAACGUGUUGAGA